AAAGACUAGAAAACCAAAUCUUUCUAACAUUUACAAAUAAUAGAAAUAAAUUGUAGAUGACAUUUUAUAUGAUUAUGUGGUAUGGUUACAGAUGAGUUACGAUGAAAAACUGUCGUAGUUGUAUAUUUAGGCUUAAUUUUUAAUUUCAAAGAGGCAUAACUCUUAGAAAAAAUAAAUUGAACCAUAAUUGCCAGUCGAUAUGCACAUACACAUAGUAUUUCCUUAUCAUCUACAAAGUUUCGCGAAAUUCUGUUGUGUGGUUUCAGAGGAGAUGCGAUGAUUGACGUACGGGGUAAAACUUUGUUCCUUGUAUAAUAUAUAGAUGGUGUCAAAUAUGACAUCACUUGGCGUUGAGGUUUUGACUAAUUCGGAUGUGUCUAUUUUUUGUGUUGGAUUUUGUCGGGUUAUGUAAUGUAUUUCGGUUGUUUCCUAUAAUUAGUUUAUACUUCAGUUUUAUCAUGUAUAUUUUUAUUUAUGAGUUUUGAACAGCGGUAUACUACUGUUGCCUUUAUUUUAUAUAGUCAAUUUAUAAAAUUUACUGUUUGCAAAAGUAUAAAUUAUUCUAAAUAAUAGGGAUGUUCUGGUACCUAACAGAAAAGCCUGGCCGUUUUUGGCACAAUUUUUUUGAACUUUUGGUCCUCAAUGCUGUUCAACUUUGUACUUAUUUCGGCUUUCAAACUUUUGUAUCUGGGUGUCACCAGUAAGUCUUGUGUGGACAACAUGCACUUCUGGCGUAUUAAAUUUUAAACCUGUUGCCUUUUGUUAGCUAUUAUUCGUGUGUUUCUUUAACAAUUGCGUUCUUCUAUUUAUUUGUAUUGUAGUCCUGUAAUGUUGUGUUGUCAUUUUAAUGUUAUAUUUCACAUGGCCAUAAAAGAGGGAGGUUUGGCAUGCCACAAAACCAGGUUCAACACACCAUUUUUUUCUUUUAAAAAAUGUCCUGUACCAAGUCAGGAAUAUGGUCAUUGUUAUAUAAUAGUUCCUUUCUGUGUGUGUUACAUUUUAACAUUGUUUCUUUUGUGUCCUUUGUUUCCUCUUAUAUUUAGUGCGAAUUCACAUUAUUAUAAGACGUGUCACGGUACUUUUCUAUCCCAAAUUCAUGUAUUUAGUUUUGAUGUUAUAUUUGUUAUUCGCAUCAGAUUUUGUCUAAUCUUCGUUCGUUUCUGUGUGUGUUACUUUUCAAUGUUGUGUCGUCAUUUUCUUGUAUUUAAUGCGUUUCCCUCGGUUUUGGAUUAUAACCUGGAUUUGUUUUUGUCAAUUGAUUUAUGAGUUUUGAACUUGGGUAUACUACUGUUGCCUUUAUUCAGAACACACGAAAUAAAAAUAACACUAUUUAGCUGGUGAUCCCGAAACUAUUUUUGAUUCAUCUUCGUCAGGAAUGCUCAAACCCAAAAAAUUGAAACCUAGGAUGAAAAAGUACUAAAAGAAAUGAUACUACGUCGAAAAGUAUGAAUAUGCCGUCAAACCCAAAGGAAUAAGAAGUGGCACUCAAACUAGGGAAAUGACGUAAUACACCUUUAAAACACACUGAAGAUUCACACCGUUCUAUUUCACUGAAAUAAGAUAUAAAUGGCUAAGAAACAAACAGAAGGGAUGGAAUGCGCCGCUGAAACUCUGCAGGUAAUGAAUAUUGAAUACAAACAUACUGUUAGUACUUAUGGACAAGCUUCGGAAUACAUA
rnacentral:lncRNA from 1 species